GGGUCAGGAGGUUGGUCGUGCCACCGGUACGUACUGGUCUCACUGAUUCCUCCUUCCUGAAGAACCGUAAUGCCAUUAAUUUGGUGUUGCGGGGAAACAGGACUGUUACUUUGAAAAAAUUAGAGUGUUUAAAGCAAGCUAACGCUUGAAUACAUUAGCAUGGAAUAACGAAAUAGGACGAUCGAUCCUAUUUUGUUGGUUUCUAGGAUUGACGUA
rnacentral:rRNA from 1 species